rnacentral:rRNA from 1 species
GACGAACCGAGCGAACGUUAUUCGGAAUCACUGGGCUUAAAGGGCGCGUAGGCGGGCCUGAAAGUCAGGGGUGAAAGCCCCCAGCUCAACUGGGGAAGUGCCUCUGAUACUUCAGGCCUCGAGGGAGGUAGGGGCGUGCGGAACUUCCGGUGGAGCGGUGAAAUGCGUAGAUAUCGGAAGGAACGUCGGUGGCGAAAGCGGCGCGCUGGACCUCUUCUGACGCUGAGGCGCGAAAGCCAGGGGAGCGAACGGG